AUCCCCUUUAGCUAGGCCCAUUUUGUCCUGCAGGUAGAAGAGAGCAUUAAAGGGAGUGAGAACUGAGACCUUCAGAUUUAUCUUUGAGGAAGCAGGACAGAAUUACCUGGAGACAGAGCCCACCAUCAGAGAGCGAGCGCGAUAACAGAAGUGAACACCUCUUACUGAUAAUGGAAGUUUGAGUCAGUAAGACAGUCUGCUUAGAAGAGCGUGUAAGCAAGCAGCCAGCUCAGCGUCACUUCUCCGGGCCCAGCAGACGCAGGGACCCUGCUCUGAGGGAAGCUGACAGCUCCGAACUACCCCAACACUGCCCACCGCAAAGAUGAAACACACUUUAGAAACUUCAUUGUUUGGCUUGAAGACCAGAAAAUCAGGCACUAAAGAUCAAAGAGAGAGGGUUGGGUCUCACCCUUGUCUUGGAGGAGAUGAGGAGAGUAGAAGAAUGAGACCCCAUCUCUUUCCUCAAGCUGUCCAGCAUGUCCCUCUGGUGCUCUGCCCACUCAAGGUGAAUUCUAAUGGGAUAAAAACAAAGAAAGAACAGAACCGAAACUGGAGGGAUUUCUCAGCCUAUUUCCAUGUCAUCCUGCCCCACGGGACCUGAAAGGAGUCACACCGAAGUUCCUGCCUGUCUUCUUGCCACAUACGAUCUGCCUCACUUCCCUGUCUUCGAAGGACAACUCCAUUGUGUCGCAGGAUUUUCUUCAGCUAGGAUUUCUUUUCAUUCUAUCUACGGUAUAGAAACACAAAUACGCACAGAUGCUCAGAAAGCGGUCCCUUUCUCCAGGCACCAAGGUCUAGCUACCCUCCUGGUCCCUGGGCAGAGCAUUCUGCGGGGAUGAUUUAGGAGCGCUGGAGGAUUGCAGUCAAUGGUUGGGAAGCACGGGGCAGGAAAAGGAGAAGCAAGCGUAGGGUAAUGACAGCUUGAUGGCAGAAAAAAGGAGCUGUGAUAAUACCGACAUGUAUCACCAUACCAUUUAUUCAGAUUAAUUCAUUGCAGGGCCGGGGAUGUAGCUCAGCAGCACAAGUGCCUGCCUGGUAAGCGCAAGGUCCUGAGUUCGAUUCCCGGUACCA